GUAGCUACCAGCAAUGUACCUCCCUGCCUGAUUUGUUGUGGCCUCAGACUAACUUCCUUCCAGGCAUGGGCCUAUUUGCUGCUGGAUUCGACUGCAAAGCCCCAUUCCUCUUCCUCACCCUCACCCCCAAUUUGGUUUUCUGGCUCCACUCACUUACUGCUAAAUCAGCAUGACCAUCUUUUAUUGUAUUUAUUGUAACAGCCGUUUCUCAUGUUUAAACGGCUCCACCCAAUCCUAGAGGAACACCAGACCCACAUGAGACCUCUAUCAGCAGAACUGCUGGUGAAAAUGUGAGGAAUGUCUCUGUCCUUCCCUGACUCAUCAGACCUCAGGAUGACCUUCCUUCCUGACACAGCCCUCCUGCGCAAGUAACUCACCAUCUUCCUGUGCCCAGCUACCACCAGACACCUGCAGGUGAGCUCACUGCAAGCUUGGCGUCGUGGUGCUGCGCACAGCCCUCUUCAGCACACAGUGUCAGCACCGUCCUAUAAAAUCUCCAGCCAGCCUUUGUUUCUUUGCAGUCGGCAUCUCUCAUGCAGGCUGCCCUGUCUCCUUGCAACCUAUUUUUCUACUUUCUCCAAUAAAUCAGCCUUUUUCUGCCUACAACUGUCUUGGUAAAUUAUUUUACCCCCACGCCACUGGCCCAGAGAGCCAUCGCUCCCCUUUGACAUUUGGGCCUCCAAACUGGGAUUUUGAGGGGGCAGGGACA
rnacentral:lncRNA from 1 species